rnacentral:rRNA from 1 species
UACGUAGGGGGCAAGCGUUGUCCGGAAUCAUUGGGCGUAAAGAGCGUGUAGGCGGCUCGAUAAGUCUGCUGUGAAAGUCCAGGGCUCAACCCUGGAAGGCCGGUGGAAACUGUCGGGCUAGAGUCCGGAAGAGGCGAGUGGAAUUCCCGGUGUAGCGGUGGAAUGCGUAGAGAUCCGGAAGAACACCGGAGGCGAAGGCGGCUUGCUGGGCGUGAUCUGACGCUGAGGCGCGAAAGCGUGGGGAGCGAACAGG